rnacentral:rRNA from 4 species
GAGUGAUCGAAAGAUGAAAAGCACUUUGAAAAGAGAGUUAAAAAGCACGUGAAAUUGUUGAAAGGGAAGCGCUUGCGACCAGACUCGCUCGCGGGGUUCAGCCGGCAUUCGUGCCGGUGUACUUCCCCGCGGGCGGGCCAGCGUCGGUUUGGGCGGUCGGUCAAAGGCCCUCGGAAGGUAACGCCCCUAGGGGCGUCUUAUAGCCGAGGGUGCAAUGCGACCUGCCUAGACCGAGGAACGCGCUUCGGCUCGGACGCUGGCAUAAUGGUCGUAAGCGACCC